rnacentral:ncRNA from 1 species
UUUAUGGAGAGUUUGAUCCUGGCUCAGGAUGAACGCUGGCGGCGUGCCUAAUACAUGCAAGUCGAGCGAACAGAUAAGGAGCUUGCUCCUUUGACGUUAGCGGCGGACGGGUGAGUAACACGUGGGUAACCUACCUAUAAGACUGGAAUAACUCCGGGAAACCGGGGCUAAUGCCGGAUAACAUGUUGAACCGCAUGGUUCUACAGUGAAAGACGGUCUUGCUGUCACUUAUAGAKGGACCCGCGCCGUAYUAGCWAGUUGGUGGGGUAACGGCCUACAACGGYGACGAUACGURUCCGACAUGAGASGGUGGUCGGCCACMCUGGAACUGARACAGGGUCCAGACUCCUACGRGAGGCRGCAGUGKGGAUUGUCUCUGGAAUGGGCGARAGCCUGRCGGAGARCGCCGCGKAACKGAGGUAGGAAUGCBGAGGGGAGUGCUYUGWAGUUAGGARGGAAGAGUUGUGAAAGAAAGACGGGAGAUCAUCCCGUCCACUGACUAACAAACCACGACUAAGGACGGCCCGGCCGCYGUGGGUAUGUSKCGUYGGWAAGBGAGACCGGCAGGGWWGGCGGGUAAUAAGAGGUUADUCUUUUUKUACCAUCAUU